rnacentral:lncRNA from 1 species
AGGUAAGGGUUGUCCAGUUCUAUCUAGGUUACAUCCUAUAGUUAACAUUCCUCUGAUACCACUUCUUUCACACCCGAGUUUUAGGGGUCCAAAACCCGGGUGCGAAAUAUCACCAAGUGUGGUAGGAUCAAGUCUCACACAUAUGAUGACUCAUGGUACAGAAAUGAAUGUCACAUCAUUAAUAUAUAACAGAGUUCUGUACAAAAUAGUUAAAUAAUUACAUCAUACGAAGACAACAAUCUAGCAACCAAAGUUGGCUGGGAGACGACGGCCUAGACCACUCACGAACUCAUAGCAGCAUCCUUCAUGCGUCUCAUCCUGUGGUACCUGUUCUUGACCUAGGGGAUGUGAGUACAGCAAGGGUGAGCUCACAUACGUUCAUCGUCCAACAAGUUGUGGGGAAUAAUGUGCAUGAACUUCACCAAAGGUGGGAGCUCAUGUGAAGUGUAAGGCUUAUCAAAGGAGAUGGUUAAAGCUGAGCAUUGCUUUUAGAGUUGGUCAAAAUUUUAUUAGCAGUUACUAAGUAUAAGUAGAUACCAACCCAAAUAAGUAAGAGAUCAAAAUUAAUAAUAACACCCACGACGCAAUGCAUAUGACAGAUUACGUUUAGUUCCAUAAAUUACUCAUGUGAGGGUCCGAGCUGCUCAUGACCGUGAGCACGGCUGAUAUACCAGUUUUACACUCUACAAAGGUUGUGCAUCUUUACCCACAAGUCGUGUAUCCCGUUUAGCCAGGGUUUGCAAGGCCCUUAGACAUUACCGAGGUGAAUGUCUAGGGAUCCACUACGAGGCCCUUACAAAGUUCCACUAGCUUUAGAAAACCCGCUACAGCUUCUGAUAAGGGCAAUAUAGGAAUCCCUCGUCCGAAAAGCCAUCACAGCAUGAUCGACCCGAGAACCUCCCUGUACGCAGCUCCUCUACCGCCCUUGCCCCUUUCGGGUAUGGUAGUCCUCCACUAGCUUUCCUAAUUAGUCAGCCAAGGGCGUCCAUACCACCCUUGUGGUAGCAUUGUUUUCCCGGGUGGUUCUCCAUGUUCCAAUUAACAUAAUAAUCUUAUCAUGAACAAUAAUCAACAACAACAGAAUUGGAACAUGAACAUAAUAUAACAUUACUUUCCCAAAACCAGGUAGAGCAAUAGCAAAACUACCCAAUAGUUAUUUUGUCUGCAAGGUGUGGGAUAAACAAUGCUAGGGAAGCCUAUUAGGUCCCAUCAAAUUAACCUGAGCAUGUCAUAGUGAUUAACUGGAACAUUAUUAGGUAAAGAAGAGUGAUCAAGGGCACUUGCCUUAUACUUGAGAUUCACAGGUACCAACUUGGUCUUCAAGAUUCUCAUAACCUCGCUGCUAAACGUAGCAAUACAGGCAAAAUUAACAUCACACCAAACAUAGGCACGAACUGCAUAAUAAUGAUCUACGCGUCGCAACUAGAUCCUAGGUUCGAGAAUCACGAAAUUCGAAGUUAUGGUUUAAGAGUUAUGAUUUCCUAAAGAUUUAAGUGGUGGUUACAAAAGAAAUUAAGUGCAUAGUUCUAUCCUAUGCUUCAUACCAACAUAAGGUUACCAGAUGCUAAACAAUAUUAACAUGAAUUUAAUGCAACUAGAGUAGGUCAAAAAGGAGUUAAAAUGAAUUAAAUAUGAUUUAAACAAGUUUCUGGAAUUAUUUUUAUAUAAAAAAAUCAUUUUCUAUAUUAGUAUAAUCAUUUUAUUUAACCUCUGGGCUGGGGCCACUAUUUCUCAAAAACUCAGGGUUGAAUCUACGAAUAAAAGGACCUAAUUGGAAUUACAUUUUAACUGUGUGGAUGGCGGGUUGAAUAAUAGAAACCAGGGAAUUUCUUUAACAAUUUUUACUAGGCCGAAAGGGUAACUUCUGUUGUGAGCCAACCGAUCAAAUUUCAGUGGCUCAUAUUAGAUCGACGCGAUUAUGAAUUGGUAUGUAGCGCGAGCCAGAUGAUUCAGAGCCAACGACCAGGAUUUUAUGAAAUGAGGAUCUAAUCUUAUGCGUAGAUCAUGCGAUCGAUGACCAGGAUCGAACCCUGUUGAGUGGGUGCACCCGCAUUAAUCCCAGUCGAUCACAUCCAAACGAACGGCCAGGAGACCACCUCCGACCUCCCAGCGGCCAAGCUCGGCCACGCACACCCCACCCGCAGUGGCGCUACGCUGGCGACGUGCCGAACCAGCGCGCAAGCCCUCCCAAAUCCAAUUAGCGACUAGAACACACAGAUUAAGGUGUCGCGAAUGCAUUUAGGGGCUUCUUACCAGUAAUUAAGCGGCGGUUAGAGAAGGCCUCGAUGAGGGGUGGACGCACGGUGGCGGCAAUCGCUGAUGAACAAAAUCCCAAGCUCUCGCAUGGCCCCUGCGCCAAGCCCAAGUUGACUGAAGAAGGCACAAGCGGUGGCGAGCUCCCCAAGCUACCACCCGAGGACGGAACGACAGCGAGCAAAGAUGGCGGUGGGCGGUCGGAUUAUUCCCCAGUGACAUCAUUGCGGAUCCAGCGCC